AGGAGGAAGCAGAGACUCUGCUCUCCUCGUUUGGAUUAAUUCUGAUAUAAUAACUGUUGGUUUAUGUAUCGGUGGAGCAGCAGAACAUUUUCCACAGACAGUUUUCCUGCCCGUUGGCUUGUUUUAACCAGUUUUCUACCUUCAGCUGAUUCUACCAGCAGACACUGAAAGGACUCUGAUAGUUCGAGUGAAAGUAGCAGUUCAUCCUGAAGGUCAGACAUUGCAGCAUCUGAGGGCCUCUUCAAAAGAAGAUGUAGUUGAUGAAGGCGUUCUGGAGCAGGACCAGAAAGACCACGACCAAGCAGCCUUGAGAUCUUAGACAGCGUCUCCCUCAGGUCCCUCUCUAUCUCCCCACACAUCCACCAACCACUGGAACACAUCUCCAAAGUUCUGCUGGACCAGCUCAGCUUCCCCUCAGAAGAAGUGCUGCCACCUGCCAGAUGAAGGAGCCUUUUGAGAGGCAGCUGGCAUCGUGAUUGGACUGUACUUUGGUCUGUUCCAAUCCAGCUUCAGCUCCAGAGACGGCAGGCGGGACGAGUCAACGGAGGCCUGGUGGACGAAGGCAUGCAGCUGAGUACAAUCCAGAAAACAACAGAGGAGGAGUGCAGCAGCCCAGAGCCAGAACAACCAGAGUAGCAUGACCAAAGAACUACAGACUCUUCACAACCUGCUCAAACUCUUGGUACAGGACCUCACCACACGGGUCAAGAAGGUUUCCGUCUCAUUUCUACUCUGAAGCUCACCUUCUCCUGCUCAAACUGCUGACAAAUGUUUCUGCUGCUCUAAAGUCUGGUCUCCAGAACUUCCCAAAAACUCUCAAAGUCUCUUCUGCUGCAGGUUGCUUUGUAGAACUGUUCCAGAAAACCUCACUAAACCACAUGGAGGGGCCUCAAGAAAGUCGUCCAAAUGAAACUGUACAAAAACCAAACUAGUACAACCCAAACACUAAAGUCUCCUGCAGCCUACCAGAGAACCUCUGAGAACAGAGAAUCAGGACAGGAACUCUUACCUUCUGGACAACCAACGUUGGUUCUCAAACAAGAAUACAGAAUGUGUCUGACCAGAAACCUCUAAAGACUCACUACAGCCAAGAUAAAGACACAACUCAGCUGUACCAAAUCCACUAAUCACUGCACACACUAGCACCAUGUGCUAACUGUGGCUAAAGAACCACAUUUACCAAGACAACUAUCCAGUACAAAGCCCUAAAACACACCAAGAAACACAUUAAAGAUGAUUUUACUGCUGGAAGCUGCAAGCCAACGCCUAAAUAACAAACUAAAACAAUGGAGCCAAACCCAGAUCAGUGGUGAAGAGAAGCAGAGGAAAUGUUUGUCUGCAGCUAAAUAAAGCAGAGAGACACUGAGCUGCUCAGGUGUUCCUGAUAACACCAAGCAGCCACCUGGACAGCCAAUAGGAACACAGCUUACUGGAAGUCCAGAGGGCUGGCUUAGUGAAGGAAAUUUAGUUUAAAGUUGAAGCAGAAAGUUAACAAAGAAAGUUGAAAACCACCUUCUGAUCCCUGAAAUCUCUGAGUUUUCACACAAAGAAUGCCUGAACAUGUCAAACUGGUUCCAUAGUAGAACCAUCAUUGUAAAAACAUCAUAGUAUGGUGUGUUGCUCAAAAAACAUUAGGACCCGGCUGUCUAGGGUCGCCAAGGAGCAACACAAGAACAGGACAAACACUGGUUUUCAGGGGGUUAGGAGGCUAUUUAUUUGAAAGAGGAAGUUUACAACAACACAACAUGUGAGCAGAAAAAUCACAGAGUCUGUCUUUAGUUCAGCUGGAAAUAAUAGUUGUCUUUUUUAUUGACCAAACUUUUCAGGAAGUAGAUGAAGAAUAAUUAAACCUCUCAUGUAGAAGUCCAACUUAUUUUGGAUCCUUGUGGAGAGUUUAAUCUUAGAGUUUGUAAAGCUGUUGAGUUUUUAGAGUCACAUGGAUUGUUUUGACUUUUAAUAACUGAGUCCUGA